GUCCAUUAUUAUUAAUAACGCUGUUGGGCAUGCAGCUCGUCGUAUGCGACUGUUGAAGUUAUGGAGGUUUUAUUCUUCGACGCGGAUGCUGUCCAACGCGAGAAAAUUACGUGAAAUCGCUCGGCUCAGCUUUUCACGCAUCCAUGCGCAUAAUGAACUGGGUACACAUUGUUCAAAGAGGUCGCAACAGCAAACUGGUUCAACUCUAAAGAGGAAUGAAAAUACCAUGGAUGUUUGAUGUAGAAGAACUAUGCAGAUAACAGAGAAAAUUAAUGAGAUUCAAAGGACUUUUCGUCUUAAAGAUUAUUAACAAUAAUACAAUAAUUUGUCUUUGUACAAAAUCGAAAAAUUGGAGAAAACUAAUAAAAAUCUC
rnacentral:misc_RNA from 1 species